GUGAGGAAUAUUGGUCAAUGGGCGUAAGCCUGAACCAGCCAAGUAGCGUGAGGGAAGACUGCCCUAUGGGUUGUAAACCUCUUUUGUGCGGGGAUAAAGUGUGGGACGUGUCCCAUAUUGCAGGUACCGCACGAAUAAGGACCGGCUAAUUCCGUGCCAGCAGCCGCGGUAAUACGGAAGGUCCGGGCGUUAUCCGGAUUUAUUGGGUUUAAAGGGAGCGCAGGCCGUCCUUUAAGCGUGCUGUGAAAUGCCGCGGCUCAACCGUGGCACUGCAGCGCGAACUGGAGGACUUGAGUACGCACGAGGUAGGCGGAAUUCGUGGUGUAGCGGUGAAAUGCUUAGAUAUCACGAAGAACUCCGAUUGCGAAGGCAGCUUACCGGAGCGCAACUGACGCUGAGGCUCGAAAGCGCGGGUAUCGAACAGGAUUAGAAACCCUAGUAGUCC
rnacentral:rRNA from 1 species